ensembl:lncRNA
GACUUCAUUCAAAAUGUGAGUGUUUGAUGGAGAGUUGCGGUUAGUGAGAGUUUGGAGAGAGUUUGGAGGUUUAGGAGAGUGAGGAGAGAAAGUCAGGAGAGGAUGGAGCCAGCUAAGAAGAGGAGGAUGUCCUCCCCUGUGUGGGAACAUUUUGAUCUUAUUCCUCCCAACAAGGUGAAGUGUUUGCUAUGUGCCAGGGAGCUGGGAUAUAACAACAACACCUCAUCCAUGCUCAGGCACUACAGAGCUUUGCAUGAGAAUAAGGGGAACACUGAUUGUGGAGCAAGACCAGGAGAACAAUCUCAAAUAGAUGAAACCCUGG